rnacentral:rRNA from 1 species
AGCGUUGUUCGGAAUUACUGGGCGUAAAGGGCUUGUAGGUGGCCAACUAAGUCAGACGUGAAAUCCCUCAGCUUAACUGGGGAACUGCGUCUGAUACUGGAUGGCUUGAGUUUGGGAGAGGGAUGCGGAAUUCCAGGUGUAGCGGUGAAAUGCGUAGAUAUCUGGAGGAACACCGGUGGCGAAGGCGGCAUCCUGGACCAACACUGACACUGAGGAGCGAAAGCCAGGGGAGCAAACGGG